CCCAUGACGCGUGAGGCGCCGUGGAAGCGCUCCAGCAGCCGCGCGCCCACCUCGCGAAACGGAGGCAGCUUCUGCCAGCAGGAUGCGUCCAAAGGCCUUGCUGUGGCUGGAGCAAUUCCAGCGGCGGAAGCGGAACUGGAACUGGCACUCUCGCACCCCGAGCCGGGCGCCCCGGGCUAGCUCUGCCACCACUUCCGGCUCAGCCUGGCACAACUCGGCCUGCCGCCCGGCCAGCCGCCGUGCCUUCCUGCAGAUGCUGGGACUAGAGACAGGGGAGAAUCACGAGGAGUAUGGAGGCCAGGGACUUUCAGGAGAGGGCCAAGAACAAUGUCAGAGAUCACCCAGUUCAGCCCCACCCACUUCACCCUCGUUAUGCAGAUGAGCAAGACAGGAGGCGACUGACUCUGGCCACUGGUGGAGGGAUCCCUAUUGCAAGACACAGUAGAUGAAUAUUUCAAACAUAAACAGUGCUGGAGGGAAAUGGGCACGUGAGAUAUCAGAAGACUUCCAGUGGCCUCCCACACCAUCCUCCACACAGCCCCGUACCCCUAGCAAGGUAGAAAACUCAUCGAAGACAAUAAGCUCAUGCAUGGACAUUCAUGGAGUACGCUCAGGGUUUUUGGGAUCCACCAGACUUGAGUUUGGAUCUGGGCUCUGCCAUUUGCUUGUUCUAUGAUGUUGAGUGAGUCCCUAGCAUGUGAAGCUGGCACUUAGUCUUCAUUAGAUGGAU